rnacentral:rRNA from 1 species
GAUGAACGCUGGCGGCGUGCCUAAUACAUGCAAGUAGAACGCUGAAGGAAGGAGCUUGCUCUUUCCGGAUGAGUUGCGAACGUGUGAGUAACGCGUAGGUAACCUGCCUGGUAGCGGGGGAUAACUAUUGGAAACGAUAGCUAAUACCGCAUAACAGUAGAUGUUGCAUGAUAUCUACUUAAAAGGUGCAAUUGCACCACUACCAGAUGGACCUGCGUUGUACUAGCUAGUUGGUGAGGUAACGGCUCACCAAGGCGACGAUACAUAGCCGACCUGAGAGGGUGAUCGGCCACACUGGGACUGAGACACGGCCCAGACUCCUACGGGAGGCAGCAGUAGGGAAUCUUCGGCAAUGGACGGAAGUCUGACCGAGCAACGCCGCGUGAGUGAAGAAGGGUGUCGGAUCGUAAAGCUCUGUUGUAAGAGAAGAACGAGUGUGAGAGUGGAAAGUUCACACUGUGACGGUAUCUUACCAGAAAGGGACGGCUAACUACGUG